AAGAUAAUUUGUAUUGUUUGCCAACCGCUAAAAAAAGAAGCUGUUGUUUGCCGUGUCGCAUUCUACACAUUUUCAGUCCAAGCCUGAUGCAGAGCAGUUCUCCCGGGUUAAGGGGUCCCUGCUGCAGUUUCACCAGUAAAGAAAAAUUACUUUUUUUACAGUUCACUUGAAGGACCACAUAAGCCAUGCAGUGAUGCAUCGAGGUAUGGAGCGCCAAGAGGACAUAAAGUGGAAGUUUGUAAGGGACAUUGGUCCAGCGUGGUACAGAGUCAUCGUGGGUUAUUCUGUGGGGAGGUGACAGGGCCUGCCGUUCUCCAGAUGGACAGUAAAAAUCAACAGAAUGCCAUCAAAGACUACCUGGAGGGAGAAUCGGAGGAUAUAUUGAAGCAAGGAAUCUCUCUGUGUAGUCUAUGUAUGUAUGUGUGUGUACUGCAUGUCAAGAACUGUUUAUCUGAUCAUUCAGCUGUUCAUUCAGCUGCUCAGACUUUAUAAUAUUUGGAGCAUACCUUUUGUUAAACAACCAGUCAAAAGUUUUUGAACAGUGAGAUUUUUUUAUGUUUUUAAAGAAAUAUCUUCUGCUCAUCAAGCCUGCAUUUAUUUAAUCCGAAGUACAGCAAAAACAGUCCAAUUUUAAAAUAUUUGUAUAAUAUUUUGCUUUUGUAAUAUAUUUUGCUAUUUAAAAUAACAAUUUUCUAUAUUUCUAUUAAAAUGAAAUUUAUUCCUGUGAUUUCAAAGGUGACUUACUCCAGUCACAUGAUCCUUCAUUCUAAUAUGCUGAUUUGAUGCUCAAAAAAACAUUUUAUUAUUAUUAUGUUAAUACACUGAAGACUGGAGUAAUGAUGAAGAAAAUUCAGCUUUGAUCACAG
ensembl:lncRNA